AUGACACAGCACUUUUGGGCACAAGGCAGGGCCCAGAGGGGCGCGUGGGGGGGUGCAGCCCAGCCCCCAGCCCGACCAGCUGGGAGUGUGAUCUGGGCCAGUGUCCACCAAGUGGCAUCUGGGGACAGUCUUGGGGAUGUUCACGGAGGAGUCACGGAGGAAGAGGAUCCACACUCCGGUGAGUCUGCGAGCCGCGGGCAUAACAGCCAUUGUCUGCUGCAGGUCUUCUCCGCCUUUCGUGCCUGUGACGUCCCGUCUUGGGGCAUGGGAUCUGGGAGCCACCCGCUAGGAUAUGUAAGGGGCCGUGCGCACUCUCCCUGCCCUUGUGAGUCCGGUUUGGGUGCCACUUCCCCAAAGAGCCUUUGCUAAGUCGCCAGGUGGACCCACGUCUCCUUCUGGGAAAGUACCUGCCUGGAACUCCCUCUGACCUUGUAAUGUUUUCCACGUUGGGUUGUAACUAUCUGUUCCCAUCGCUGCCUGUGAGCUUCUCCAGGGCGGGGCCAGCUGUGAUUCAUCCCUGCAUUCUGGUACAAGGACCAGAAUGGGCGGGUGGAGGGUUUGGUGUGAGAAUAUCGUGACGGUUUGAUGGAUGGGUGGGUGGCCAAAUGGGUGCAUUAAAUGACUGUGUACAUGGGUGGAUGUGAACUGCUUGUGGAGGGGUGAAAUGAAGAGAAAGAGAAAUGAAAGAAUAAAUGAAUCGAUGAAUGAAAUGAACAACUGAAUUAAUGAAUGGGUGAAUAAAGAAAAUAGUGGAUAAAUGGGUGAACAGCUGGAUGGGAGGUAGAUGGCUCAAGAAAAUGAAUGAUAGAUGAUGAAUUGUGAAAGGAUGAUGCGGAUGACUUCAUGGUUAAGUACUGUGAAUUACUGAUGGAUGAAUACAUAAGCAUAUAACCAAGUAAAUAAAUUAAUAAGUGAACUAAAGGAUGAAUUAAUAUAUAGCUAGAGGAAUAGACACAUAAAUGGAUAAAUAAAUGAAUAGACUGGUGAUGUCAGGAGUGAAGAGGUAAGUGAACAGAUGGAUGGAUUCGCCCAUCCAAAUGGGUGAAUGGGUAGAUGAGACACUGGAUGGAUGGAUGGGUGGGUGGAUGGAUAAGUGGGUGGAUGGAUGGAUGGAUGCAUGGGUGGUGUGGGUAGAUGGGUGGACGGAUGGGUGGAUGGAUGGGUGGAUGGAUGGGUGGAUGGGUGCAUGAGGAGGUGGAUGGAUGGAUGGAUGCAUGGGUGGUGUGGGUGGGUGGAUG
rnacentral:lncRNA from 1 species